GUUACCAGAGCCUUCUAGAGGAAGUGUUCUCCGAGCUGAGGGCGGCUCUUUGAUUCUCCAGGCCACAAACCCCCGCAGCCCGGCCUGGCCAGAGGCGUGCCUGUGCAUCCCGGCAAGUGAGCGCCCAGGGACUCUCGGCCAGAGAGGCUGUGAGGGUGGCUUUGUGAGGAUGGCUUUGUGUGGCUGCACAUUGCCCUUGGCCAAGCCCCGCUGCCAGGAGAGGCAGCUCGGCUGCCAAACCUCCUGAACCCAAGUUACCUGAGCAAGCAGCCCUAUCCCCUCGCCUGCUUCUCACUGCCUCGCCUGCCUUGGGCCUGCCCGACCCAGGGGGUCACAUGCCUUGUUCCCCAUCAGUGGAGACCAGGGACAAGAAGACAGUUCUGUGGGAAGAGCCAGGAGGACCAUUUGGGAAAAUACAGGUUCCAGGUGUGUCUCCAGACCUUGAGAGUUGGUGUCUCCUGGGAAGAGGCCCUGAUGAGAUCUGGGGAGAUUCGGAUCUGAUGAGAUUCAGGAAGCCCUGGCCUCUCCGUACUUGAGGAGACGGGACACACAGGACAAGCUGCAGGCUGGUGAGCAGGUUCACCUUCUAUUUUGAAGACCCGCUUCUUCCUCAGGUACCUGAUCUUGAAAACGACCUCCCCUUUCAGUUCUGGAGGCCAGAAGCCCAAAAUCAGUCUCGCUGGGCUAACGUGAAGGUGUCAGUCGGGCUGGUUCCUUCUGGAGGCUCCAGAAAAGAAUCUGUUUUCUUGCCUUUUCUGGCUCAGUUUCUCGGCUUGUGGCUCCUUCCUCCAUCUUCAAAGAGCACCACUCCAAUCUGCUCCUCCAUCAGGUCACCUUCUGCCUGACUCCUACAUCCCUUUCAGAAGGACCCUUGUGAUUCCAUGAGGUCCACCCAGAUCACGCAGGAUAAUGUCCCCGUCUCAAGAGGCUUAAUCUAAUCACAGGUGAAAGCCCUAUACGAGGUGUCAUGGACAGAUUCUGGGCCUAAAGACAUGAACAUCUGUGGGGGCAUCACUCAGACUUCCACGGGUGACAAGGGCCCCAUGGUGGGAGGGGAGAAGAGGAGGAAACGGGAGAGUGAGGAUUCACCAGGAGACUGGCCCGAGAAAGGAGACACGGAUUGGACAGGCUCAGCCAGUGGAAGACCGUCCUGCCUGGAGGGAAGUGGCUUUUAGGAGUUUUUUCCUGAGCCUGUUGUGUCUCCUUCCCUCCUUUCUCCCCCAAAUCCAACUAGAAAACUAGAAACAUAAUCUGUUGUGUUGACUCCAUAGGUCUUGCUUCCCCUCAACCCAGACACCGACUCGCCCAAGGGUCUUCCAGCUGGCUGAGUUGGAACCUGCAUUUUUUAACCACAAGGAAAAGAAGCCCAGAGCUACCAAGAAUAAUAUUUUAUUGACUUGGAAUGAGUUUUGGAAUCUGUAUUUUUAACAAGCUGCCCAGUGAAAACCAUUUCCUCCUCGUCGUGGCGCAGGUCCAGAGGCUGCGCCCAUCUCUCCCACGUCAACAGUCCUGUGUCCUUGGCGAAGGACUGUUCUCUCAUUCAGUGCCUUUCCUCUCUUCCUGGGCCAAAUCCCUGCUUUGCGUCUCCCUGCAGCUCAUAAAAAGCUGAAUUACCUGAGGCAGGGAAAGCCCCACCCACUGUCAUUCUCAGGGAGGAGUGGAGUCUGCAGAGGCCGCAAUGCACAGCUUCCCUAUCCCCCUCCACCCGUGUUUUCCCAGAGCAGCUCUGUUCCAGGCCCGGGGGUGUCCCUGGGCCGAGAUGGAAUCCAGCCCUGACCACCUCCCAAAGCCAACAGCCCUGAGUGAGCGUGCAGAGAAGCAAGAGCUGUUCCUGAUGCAGAGCAAAGACAUCUCCCAGUCAAGGGGGAUGAACUGAUUUGGGACAAAAGGCAGUUGUUGGCUGAGGAAGGCAGGAUCUGGGGGAGCCCUGUGCUGAGUGGAGGUGGGUGGGUGUAUUUCCUUGGCUCACAGAGGCCUCUUGUCUGGUGGGAUCAGCUCCUCCAGCCAGUUGCCACCUGGUCCAGCUUUGGGAGAUGUGGAGAAUGACUUUCGCAGUGAUUUCCACUGGGCCAUGGCAUUGAAACAGCUGCAGGAGGGGACACAGCUGGUGCCACCCCUACUCCGUCCAUUAGAGCUGCUGUGAAGGAAUGCCACCCUCCCCAUGGGGAGUGAGGGGGCCCUACUUGCUGUGGUUGGUUCCAGGGACCAUGGGAAGAGGCAAACCCCUAUUUUCAAGGGCACAAGUUGGCUUUUAUUAAAAUAAAAUUUCAUCAUCACUUAUUCCAGUGGCUCCCAAACUUGGCUAAACAUCAGGAUCACCCAGGAUGUUUGUUAAAAAAUAAAGAUUAUGGCCGGGUGCAGUGGCUCACGCCUGUAAUCCUAGCACUUUGGGAGGCCCAGGCGGGCAGAUCACUUGAGGUCAAGAAUUCGAGACCAGCCUGGCCAACAUGGGGAAAUGCUGUCUCUACUAAAAAUACAAAAAUUAGCUGGGUGUGGUGGUGCAUACCUGUAACCCCAGCUACUCGGAGGCAGAGGCAGGAGAAUUGCUUGAACUUGGGAGGCAAAGGUGGCAGUGAGUCGAGAUAGCGCCACUGCACUGCACUCCAGCCUGGGUGACAGUGCGAGACUCUUGUCUCAAAAAAAAAAAAAAAAAGAUUAAUAAAAAUAAAGAGUUUUAGAACUCAUCCUAGACGGAAUCAAUCAGAAUCUCUUUGGGUAGGCUUGGGCUGGAAUCAGUGCGAAAUCUGACUAAUCAGAUUGCUUUCCUGAUUCCAGACGGUUGAGCCCAUAGAACAGGAGUGAGAAGAUGGAAGGGCGAGGGGGCUGGGAUGAUGAAAACUUGCGCCUGCAGCCACCAUUCAUUACAGAGCGCCGGGGGCCAGCUGCAGAACUGUAGACUCCUCAUACAUCAUCGUGUUGAGUCUUCAAAACAAACCUAUGAGGCUGGAGUGCAGCAGCGCGAUCUCGGCUCACUGCAACUUCCACCUCCUGGUUUCAAGCAAUUCUCCCGCCUCAGCCUCCCGAGUAGCUGGGAUUACAAGCACCCGCCACCAUGCCCGGCUAAUUUUUAUAUUUUUAGCAGAGGCGGGAUUUCUCCAUGUAGCCCAGGCCGGUCUCGAACUCCUGACCUCAAGUGAUCCACCCACCUCAGCCUCCCAAAGUGCUGGGAUUACAGGUGUGAGCCACCAUGCCCCGCCAGCCAUCAGAGUUUUAUAGCAAGAAUUUUUACCUUUGUCCUUAGUGCAAUGGGAAAUCCUUGAAACGCUAUUAUUGCCUUCCUCUGCAAGGAAAGGUUAUUUUGGUGAGCAGUGGAUAGAGGAAAUGCAGAGGGAGCCACUAAAGGGUUCUGGUGAGAUCUGGAGCCCUGCUGGGAUAAUCUGACCAGAGAAAGCAAAGAUUCCAGAGAGCUAGGCACACUUGCCCUACCUCCAGCUGCACACAGCUGGUUCCAGCUUUGUCCUGACCUUCAGUCUGGCAUACAGGGUAGACCCACUGGUACCUGGUACCUCACUCUGGGGGUGAGGUGGCCACCCACCUAGGUCUGGGUCCUGUAGCAGUUUGGCAGCAACAUCUGGGUGAUAAGAGAAGGCGAUUUGACCUACUCCCAGGGACAAGAAGCUUUGACUCUUCAAGAUCAUAAAGUCUUCCCUCCUGGCCUUGGGUCCUCCUGUUGCGGGAGAGGUGAGGUGGGGUGAGGGUCCUCCGGGAGGGCAGGCUUGGCAGAGCCCAGCACCAUCUCAGCAGACACUGCUCUUCUCCUACUCUCAGCACCUCCAAGGCAGUGAGUGGCUUUCUCUUGUCUAGAGGACAAAAUCCGUUCCUCACCUGGACACAAUGAACCUGUCUGUGGGAUUUAGGGAGCAUCAAGGAGGGAAUUUAGUUUCCGCAGACUUCAAGGAAGACUUUCUGGAGGAGGUGAUGCCUGAGAGCUAUCCAGGAGAGAAGAGUGAAAAAAUGUUAAGCAGUGGAAAAACAUGAACCAAACUGUGGCUGCAUCUUCCCAUAGGGCAACAGGGACUUAGCGCGUGCAAUCAAGGAUCUCCAGAUGGGGAUAACCCAGGUGUGCCCAACCUAAUCUCAGUGUCCUUGGAAGAGGGAUGCAGAAGGAGUCAGAAUCAGAGAAGAAGGUGACACGAUGAAGGAAUCCGAAAUUAGAGUGAUGCUCUUUGAAGAUGGAGGAAGGGACCACAAGCUGAGAAAUAGAGGUGGCCACUAGACACUGAAAAAGGCAAGGAAGUGGAUUCUCCCCUGGAGCCUCCAGAAGGAACCAGCUCUGCCGACACCUUGACAUUAGCCCAUUGAGACUGAUUUAAGGGCUGCUGGCCUCCAGAAUUGUAAGAGAAUAAACGUGUGUUGUUUAAGGCCCUUGGUUAGUAGCGAUUUGCUACAGCAGCUGCAGAAACCUAAUAAGUAUAGGUUCCACCUAGAGACGCAGAACUAGCCAGCGGCCGAUCCUGCUCCGGGACCCUGCAGGCCCCAGCUCUAUGGAAUCCUGUCGCACACGGGAUGGACGUGGGCUAGAGGCGGAGGAAGGGGAGGAAGUGAAGAUCUUCAGACUAAGAUGGAUGAAGCUGAAUUCAGAUCUCAGCUCCAAGGUGAAUGAGCAAACAGCACAGAAAAAGAAACAGCAGUAUAUGUGGAAGAAAGCAAGAAAAAUCAACUGGCCUGGAACCUAAGACUUGUCCAAAGAUGUCACAGAGAGUAAAAUGAGAAAAAUCCAGUAGCCCGUGCCCAGAGCAGUUCCUCGUACCCAGCAGAAGGCUAACAAGCCCUGAGAUGAAUGAUGCUCUUCCCAAGGAAGGCAGAGGAGGCGACAGUCCAUUUGCGUUCUCUCCUCUGCAAGUACAGGAUCUCGUUUGAUUCUCAAAACCACCCUAGAGGAGACAGGAGGCACCUGAGGCCCAGAGACGUGAAGCCACCUGUCCAAGGCCAUACAGCAGAUAACUUAUUCUGGAGGAAGACACCUGCCAUGCCGUGAGGACAGUCAAGCAGUUCUGUGGAGAGAUCCAUGUGGUGAGAAACAGGGGCCUCCUGUCAACAGGAAGAACAACCUGGCAGGCCUGUCUUGGAUUCAGAGCCUCCAGCCCCAGUCGAGCCUUCAGAUAACUGCACCCUUGGCUGUCAUCUCAACUGCAAUCUCACGACAGACCCUGAGCUGGAACUACUCUGUUUACCAAUGCCUGGCCCACAGAAAGACUAUGAGAUAAAACAAGUAUAUUGUUUUUAGAAGAUAUGUUUUGGAGUAAUUUAUUAUGCUACAAUAGAUAAUACAGAAUUUGGUGAUUUUAUGAUUCUCAACUCCUGGCCAAAGCAAAGCACACAACAAGUCUCAAAGAAAAGUCUCACAAGUGGAAUUGAAAGUACAAAGCUGGCCAGACAAGCUUGUGCAGACAUGUAUGUGGUGGAGUUGAAAAUCACACACUACGACUCACACAAAGACGGAGUCUUGCUAUGCUUCCCAGGCUGGCCUCAAACUCCUGGCCUCAAGUGAUCCUCCCGCCUUAGCCUCCCAAAGUAAGCCUGGCCAUCCUCUGUUCUUUUGAGACUCAAAGGAUGAAGGCGCUCAUGGCAGGGCCAGCUUCACAGGUUGGUGACCAAGGCAGCUGCACAGGGCCUUGCUGUCAGAAAGUCCCCACAACUUGGAUUAAUG
rnacentral:lncRNA from 1 species